ACCGGAAGCUGUUCUUGCUCUUCUUCUUUAGUGUUUAAUGGCGACUGGAAAACUAUCUUAGAGGCGCAUUACCGCCACCUGCUGGACUAUCGAUGGAGAGUGUUGGCUCCCUUCCAAAAAGAAGGAAAGAGGUUGGGGCAGAGCGGAGGAGAUGCAGACCACCGGAGUGCAGAGCAGGAGGCGGGAAGCUGGAGAUCUGACUUAUUAAUUAAUGACGUAUUAAUGACCACUGAAGGCCAGUAUUAUUUUUUUGAAUAUGACCAAAUAUGUUUCUUCAGAGGACAGCUGUGGGUUUACAUGUGUGAUGCAGUGAUAACAUCUUUGUUUUUAUUCUCUUUUCUUUCUUCCUCAUUUCUAAAGUCUGUGGUUGAGAUGAGCCUCCUCUCCUCUGUAUAAAAACCUCCUGACGCUCGCUGUCAGGAGGUUGACGACUCGACUUCCGACUACUGAAGACACACAGCAGAACCUUCAUCUACCUGAGCAGAUGUCUGUCCGGUCCUGGAUGCUGCUGCUGUUCCUGCUGUCAGCUGGAAGCAGGUUGGAUGCUGUGAAUGUGAACUGGCUGACUCCUAUUGUAGAAAGAAUCGUGACAGAGUACAGGGUAGAGGGACAGUUCUGUCUGGCUGCAAACAUCCCACUGAACCAGGACCCCAACACACUUAUUGAUUUCCUUCAGAAUGACCGCUAUGAAGAACAUGUUGAAGACACUGUUUCAGGUGGUGAUGUGUACAUUGGUUGUAGCUAAACCCUCAGGACCUGUGCAUGCAGAACUUCGGGUUCUGGAGAUGCUGAAACCAUUGACUAGCAACACCGAUGGGAAGUUCCUGCUCAUCUACUCUUACCUCUCCCCAUGUCAAAAGUGUACACACCAUAAAAAGUUCAAUAUCAUUAAAUACAUUAAUGAAAUUGUCUGUAAAUAUUGGAGAGAUUAUGCCUUUGUGUUUAAAAUAGUUUUUGAUAAACCCAGAGAUUUUGAUCCUCCUACCAAAGAUGAUCUGAGGAAGUCAUUAGAAGAGCUUGGAAGGUCUAGGCUCCAUCUCAGAAACAUAUUCCGCUGUUACACACCACUAAACUUAGAAUUUCAGUGCCACAGCUGCUCAUCACAGGGAAGAGUUUCAAAUAUUUGUAUUGAUAACGAAGCUUUGCCGCAACAGGGAGGAAGCAGAAGCCGCAGCUUUAGUACAAUCAGAAGCAGGAGCAGUUACAGCAGGAGCAGUGACAGCAG